GCACGAUCAUGGCAAACCCGCUUGAAAAACGGGGACGCAAAGCUAUAGGGGCUAAAGGAUUUGCCAUUGAAGCAAAUGUCCAUGCCAGCCAGCUGCCGAA
rnacentral:ncRNA from 1 species